GGUCGUCGGGCACCGGCUCGCGCUGCGGCGAAGGGAAGGCCACCGUGGGGAAGAAGAGGCUCUGGUGACCUCAGAUGACCGCUGAAGUGCGACGUCUUGAUCUGGAGGGGGCAACAAGAAAACCACUUGGUUCCUGCAACAACAACAACAACAACAAACCUGUGGCUGUGGCAGUGAAAUGUCCAAACGGACGCUUUGUCUUUGAGGUGACAUAAAAUCCACACAUCACAAGAUGGGUGGAACAUGAAGCGAUGCAAGUUGCUGAACUGAUGACAAGAUACGACGAUGCCCGACCAGCACCUUUUAAACAAGUAAGGAGAUAUUUUGAAACGCCUUCGCUUAGAUGAAAGCUUCACACUUGUGAGCGCUGCUUCGUGUUUUCGUUUUGAACCAAACGACAGACUUUGGCACCAUUAAAAGGGGCUCGCGUACGGGAGUGUUUUUCGCAAAUGUUUUCUUCACGGUUUGAUCCUGAAACAAGUUUGUUCAUGCUUACAUUAGGUUUGGACUGGGAGACGUCAACUUUCUUUUUAAAAAGGAAAAAUAAAUGCAUGUUUUAUGGCCAAAGAAGAGGAAAAAAAUGACCAUUCCUUCCCAGUAAUUGUAAAUGUAUAUUGCCACCUACAGAAAAAAGCUUCUUACUGCAUUCGAGACGAAUUUGUUUCGAGUUUUAUUUAAGACACUCGAGUGCGCCACAAGAGUGCGCCAGAGAUUAAAUUGUUCUCAGGAAGUCUUUUAUUUUUUAUUUUUUAAAUGCUCAUGCUGGUAAUGCCGCAAUGCCUCGCGAGAGGGCGACAGCGAUUGAAUGACCCGAUUUGAG